UACGUAGGGUGCAAGCGUUGUCCGGAAUUAUUGGGCGUAAAGAGCUCGUAGGCGGUUUGUCGCGUCUGCUGUGAAAUCCCGAGGCUCAACCUCGGGCCUGCAGUGGGUACGGGCAAACUAGAGUGCGGUAGGGGAGAUUGGAAUUCCUGGUGUAGCGGUGGAAUGCGCAGAUAUCAGGAGGAACACCGGUGGCGAAGGCGGUCAUCUGGGCCAGUACUGACGCUGAGACGCGAAAGCGUGGGGAGCAAACAGG
rnacentral:rRNA from 1 species